AAGCGUUCUCAGGGCAGGGUGCAAUUCCCUACCGGCGGUCAUGGUGGAAGGCGACUUCCGCACGAGCCCGCGAGCGCCCGCCGCCGCAGCCUUCGGACCGCGGUGGCGGGGUCAGCAGAUUUCGGUGCGAUUCCGAAGCCGACGGUCACAGUCCGGAUGAAAGAGAGCGCGA
rnacentral:ncRNA from 1 species